rnacentral:rRNA from 1 species
UGGGGAAUAUUGCACAAUGGGCGCAAGCCUGAUGCAGCCAUGCCGCGUGUGUGAAGAAGGCCUUCGGGUUGUAAAGCACUUUCAGCGGGGAGGAAGGCGAUAAGGUUAAUAACCUUGUCGAUUGACGUUACCCGCAGAAGAAGCACCGGCUAACCCCGUGCCAGCAGCCGCGGUAAUACGGAGGAUGCAAGCGUUAAUCGGAAUUACUGGGCGUAAAGUGCACGCAGGCGGUUGAUUGAGUCAGAUGUGAAAUCCUCGGGCUCAACCUGGGAACUGCACCUGAUACUGACAAGCUUGAGUAUCGUAGAGGGGGGUAGAAUUCCAGGUGUAGCGGUGAAAUGCGUAGAGAUCUGGAGGAAUACCAGUGGCGAAGGCGGCCCCCUAGACGAAGACUGACGCUCAGGUGCGAAAGCGUGGGGAGCAAACAGG